UCCCUUCUCUGAUCUCGGUGAACAACGGCGACGGAUCUCGAUCGGUGGAUUUCGCCGGCUGUCGGGAGGGAACCAAGGGCAUCGGCGUUGGAUCAGGCCAGCAUCGAUUGUUUGGAGGAGGUAACAACCAUUGUUCCUUCCCGAUCUCUGUCCCUGUUCGUCGGCAAGAACAAGUCGUUGCCCUAACUUCGAUCUUGGAGAGACUGGUAUUUUGGUCCCGGCCACCACAGCUCUGUUGGAUCGAUCUCUUCUUCGUAUCAGUGAUCGUCUCCGGUGAUUGAAGGGUGCAGAGAGGAUGCGAUGUGCUUAUUUUAGAUACUGGAUUGGGAAGUGCAGAGAAUCAAGCAAGGGUCAAGGAGUUGCUUCAUGUGGAGGAAUCAAAACUAGAGGAGGAUGAGGGAAAUACCACUCCAGCAGUGAGAUGGGUUCGAGAUGAUAAAUAUGAUUGCAUCCGAUUAAAGCAUUGCAAGGUUGUGACAAAAAUUGAUUGGCAUCGGAAAGGAGACUAUUUCACUACUGUCGUUCCUAGUGAUAUCCUAAUUAUGAAUUUUAGUUGUACUUAUUUUUAGUCAUUCCUAGUGCCUAUUUUAUAUCUCAGUUUUGUUUCUUUCUUUUUUCUAAUACACACUGACAAAUUGGAAAUAUAUAAAAAUCAUGACAUUAUACCUAGUUACCUAGCCUUUGAGGCUGGAAUCAGGAUGAAACCUAAAGUGCCCUGAAAAGUUUAGGCAUACCAAAUUCUCUCAGUUUAAUGACAGAGGUGUUUUAGAUUGUAAAUUUCAUCCGAGGCAGCCAUGGCUAUUCACAGCUGGAGCAGAUUCUGUCAUUAAACUGUAUUGCCACUAAUGAUAGAUUCUCCAGGAAACUUUGAAGAAUCUCCUCGAGUCAAGAUACGUUGUGACAAAAAUUGAUUGGCAUCGGAAAGGAGACUAUUUCACUACUGUCGUUCCUAGUGAUAUCCUAAUUAUGAAUUUUAGUUGUACUUAUUUUUAGUCAUUCCUAGUGCCUAUUUUAUUCCUAGUCACCUUAUUUCAAUGACAAGAACAAGGGUUCUCAUGGCCAAUAUGUGUCUAUUAAUGGGAUUUUCAAUGUCUUGCUUACCACGCUAAUCCUACUUCUGAUUGGAUUUGCAGCUUCAAGAUAUCAAACUCUACACCUUCUAUAUGGAGCUAGAUUUGCAAAAGCCAUAUCCAACUCGAGGAAGUGACUUAUUGACAUGGGAGAGAACUUAUUGGUAACCAAGGACUUUAUGAAGAUAGCAAAUUUUGGCCUUGCUCGUGAAGUUCAUUCGAAGCCACCAUUCACAGAAUAGGUUUCAACACGCUGGUAA